CCUUACCAUGUUGUUCUUUUGUUCAUUCAUUGGUUUAGUUUUUAAGUUUUAGCUAUUUCCACUUAUAGUUUCUAGAACUCUCCGAGUUCUUUUCUUUUCUGCAUCAGAGCAUUUGCACGUUCUGUUCCUUUGUCUGGUCUGCUCUUUCCCCUGUUCUCACCAGAGUGACUUCUCAUGGCUGAAUCCCAGACCUUUCUUUGCCAGUGAAGUCCCCUCUGACUAUCAAGCCUGUGCCUGCUCCAUAGGAGGGAAUACGUGCCUGGCACAGCAGAAUAGGACAAAAGCCUAUUGCCAGAGAGGUCACAGAUCCUAUGAGGAAAUCCACUACUGAUGUUUUCUCAAAUGGACAGGUGGGACAUCUGUGUCAGCCCUCUAAAGCUCAGCGAACACUGCAGAAAAGGAACUCCACCGACGGACAGAGACCAGCAUGGCCUGACCUGUAGUGAACCCAAGGUCACUGAUGCAUUCCCGGAAUCCUCCUCUACCAGGACACCUUUAAUCACGUGCACAUAUCCAGAUUGCCAGAUGUGCCAAAAGCCCCAUAUACUGGGACAGUUGCAACGCUGGGAAUGGCCACAGCAUGACCUUCUCCAAGCCCUUGAAUCUGAAAAAAACACCAGCUGGGGGAAGGCCAGGGAUGGCUUCAGUCCCGCCUGCCUUGACAAGAGACAUUACAACAGAUGUGCAUGUAUUUUAUUGUGUGACGAAUGGAUGCAGGGUGGGAGAAGAGGGAAAUAGAACCUAAGAAAGGGCACAGAGUCUCUCUGGGCAGCCAGAUGGGAUCACACAUAAACGAGAAAGCACAGUUCCCGCCGCAGAGCCAGCUGCGGAGAAAAGGCUUCCUCCUUCAUGGAAAGAAAAGAUGCUCUCCUUCAAAUGAGAAGUACACAGCAGACGAAUGUAUCUGGGACAACCUGAGGAUUGAAUGUCCCCACAGGACUCUCAGUGGGAGCCGGCAGGUUUGAUUGAAAACACCCAGCAGGUGAAGGUAGAUUCCUUAUCACUUCCUAUGCCCAAGGAUUGAAAGCUGAAAAUAGACCCAAGGAUUCUGUGGGCACUUUCUGCAGGCAGGGGUUAUCAAAGUCUCUGUCUGAUUUUGGACAGUUUUUUUGUUUUGUUUUGUUUUUGUUUUUGUAAAAUAUAUCCAUAACAGUUUGUCUUUAAAGGGGAGUUGCUGGGUUUUCAUCAUGUGGAUAAUUGAUUUGUUACAAGUCACAGGAAAGCAUUUGUCAUUCGGAAGCCACCAAGCCCCACGUGGUCUUCCUCCCCGGAUAAGCACGGAGCCUUUUGACUUAUUGCUGUCAUUAAAUUGAAGUGUUCGGCUGA